AUGAAAAUAAUCCAUGAAGCUAUUGACAAGAUACGACAGUUGCUGAAGUUUAUUGACUCUUCUCCUUCAAGACUUCAGGAUUUCGCAAUUGCAAGUGGGAUGGGUCUGCCUUCAAAGAAAGGUAUCUCUGUUGAUACACCAUCCAGAUGGAACUCAAGAUGGAAAAUGCUUGUAGAAGCAUUGAUAUACAAAUCUGUCCUCACUAGUUAUACCAAUCGAAAGAUGAUAGAAUCUCCAAGUGAGCAAGAAUGGGAAAGGGCAGCAGCUAUUUGUGAGUUUCUAAAAGCUUUUGAAGAGCUUAUCUUAAUUGUUUCAGCUCAU
rnacentral:rRNA from 1 species